UUUUUUUUUUUUUUUUUUUUUUUUUUAAUUUCUGGCAGGCAGUAGAGUAAGGGCAGAUCAAUUUAAUCAGUCUGGGAUAUAACUGAUUCAAAGCUGGUUUUCAGCCUUUAUGAGAGGAUUUAUUUGGGUUUGCUCUCAUCCCAGUUGAGGCCUGAAAUAUUUACCAGAGCCUAACUUCUUUGGCAGGACCUGAACUAAAUGUUUGUCUCCUCUACCCAUAAAACUGGGAAAAGCUCCCUUCAGCUUCUUAGCAUUUUGGCUAAAGUUUAAAAAUCAGCAAAUACUUAGGAAGGUGCCAAGUAUUAGUUUCCCCUCUCUGCAUUCCUCUUUUUUUGUGAUCUUGGCAGCUCUCAUUCUGGCUCCCCUAGUUGACAUCAAUCCCGAUUUUCACUUUUCUAGUCCCAAAAGACUGCUCAAAGCUCUGAUCAAUUUCUCACCACCUCAAUCCUUUGCAGAAAUCAGCAAGGAAAAAGUGGCAUAGAAAUUUGUUUUUUGCUGAGUGCAGUUCCCUUCUCUGUAGGAUCUUGGUUCAAAUGCUGGCACUGAAGUAGUUUUCUUCAAUAUUUUUAAAUAGAUUUAAAUUUAAAAAAAUAGCUUUUAUGGUUGUUUUCAUUAUGUUUACUCUCCUAUAAUUUUUCCUUAUGAGAUUUAUAAUAAUUGUAUUAGGAUAUUAAUAAAAUAGUAUUUGAUAAAGGGGAUAGUGGCUACUCUGUAAAAUAUUAAAGAAAUUAUUUUUGAUUAAUUUCUUCUGAAUUAAUAUCUCUCAGUUCUUACCACAAUAAUAAUUUUAGAAUAUGAUGAUAGGUAUAUGAAAAAAUAACCAAAUCUUCUGAAAGAACAUCAUCUAUUCUACCAUACAUAGAUAGAAGUAACUAUUCUCAUCAUUAUAUAAGAAAGUUGAGAAUUAUAACAGAAAACAAUUAUUUGAAACUGCUCUGUUUUGAACCAUGCAUUUACUACAGCCAGAUGCAAAUCUUUUCACUCUUUCACCUGUCUUCUAUCUCUCUCUGCUCUCUCUCUCUCUCUCUCUUUCUUUAAGAUUUUUAUUUAUUUAUUCAAGAGACACAGAGAGAGGCAGAGACACAGGCAGAGGGAGAAGCAGGCUCCAUGCAGGGAGUCUGAUGUGGGACUCGAUCUCGGGACUCCAGGAUCGCCCUGGGCCAAAGGCAGGUGCUAAACCACCUAGGCAUCCCUCUCUGCUCUCUUUUGAAUGAACCAUGCAUAUACUACAGACAGAUGCAAAUCUUUUCGCUCUUCCACCUGUCUUCCAUCUUUCUUUCUCUCUCUCUCUCUCUAUAUAUAUAUACACACACACACACACAAACAAACAAAUGGCUCCAUUGUUAACUUUAUUUCUUUUUUUCUUUAAUUUUAUUUAUUUAUUCAUGAGAGACACAGAGAGAGAAGCAGAGACAUAGGCAGAGGGAGGAGCGGGGCUCCAUGCAGGGAGCCCAAUGUGGGACUCGAUCCUGGGACUCCAGGAUCAGGCCCUGAGCCCAAGGAAGACACCCAACUGCUGAGCCACCCAGGCAUCUUGUUAACUCUAUGUCUAUUACGUAGAACAUUCCAUAAACUUGGGGUAGCCAAAAGAUAAAAACAGAAUUUUAAGAAAAUAUUUGGAAAUAAAUCACAUUUUCAAUAUAUAAAUUAUAGAGAGGAAAGAUAUAAAAAUAGUUUUAAGAGGUUUUUUUAUUUUUUUAAAGAUUUUAUUUAUUUAUUCAUGAGAGACACAGAGAGAGAGAGGCAGAGACACAGGCAGAGGGAGAAGCAGGCUCCAUGCAGGGAGCCUGAUGCAGGACUCGAUCCAGGACCCCGGGAUUACGACAGUUUUAGGAGUUUAAAUAAAUAAUUUUUGGCAUGAAAAUCUGAUCAUGUAUCUUUAUUGACCAUAAUUACUUAAUGCUAACAGGAACUGGAAGAAAUCUGAAGAUGACAUACUGACUAAGUUAUACAAUUCAGUGAAAACUGCAGUGACAGUCUACUAAUUAUUUUAUUAGGUAAGCUGUCUGACAUAUUAUGGACAGUUUCUGAUAACUUAACUGCUCUAUCCAUGUAAUUGUUUCUAAUUAAUUCAAUUAUUGAGUAUUUUGGUUGAUUUUUAACACAAUGAUUCAAGAUGUCCAAACUUUAGCACAUUAUGCACAUCUAAUAUUUAGUAAAAAGCAUAGUAAACUAACUAAUGAUUUGGUUAAACAGCCCAAAUAAAACAUUCAAUAAAGUACUUUAAAAAAUUUUGUUGAUGUAAAUUGUUGUUUGAAUUAAGAAACUUAAUUAUGC
rnacentral:lncRNA from 1 species